UGUGUAUUUGACAAGCUGGGUUCAACACUCAGUGUAGCAGUGUCAGUUUGUCAAAUAUACAAA
rnacentral:pre_miRNA from 1 species